rnacentral:rRNA from 1 species
GACGAACCGUGCAAACGUUAUUCGGAAUCACUGGGCUUAAAGGGCGCGUAGGCGGGCCGCCAGGUCCGGGGUGAAAGCCUCCAGCUCAACUGGAGAAGUGCCUUGGAUACCGGCGGCCUCGAGGGAGGUAGGGGCGUGCGGAACUUCGGGUGGAGCGGUGAAAUGCGUAGAUAUCUGGAGGAACACCGGUGGCGAAGGCGGCAUCCUGGACCGGUAUUGACGCUGAGGCGCGAAAGCCAGGGGAGCAAACGGG